UUUUUUUUUCAGGAGACGUAGAAAAACAAAAUAAUUUAGUUUUGGUAAUUAUUAUUGUGAAAUGUUUUGUUUUUAACAACUCUUUUAAUUAAACUAUGUAAAAUAGAAGCUCAGCAAUGGCUUCUCAUUUGGAUCCUCAACUUGAGGAUAGAAUACUGCAUGAAGUAAAGUCACAAGGUGUUUUCGAUGAGUUUCGCAAAGAUUCAAUGGCAGACGUGGACACCAAGCCUGCUUAUCAAAAUCUCCGACAGCGUGUUGAGAGUACAGUGAAGAAGUUUCUAUCCGAACAACAAUGGACACCCGAUAUGAAUAAAAAUCAACUUCGUGAGAAAUUGCGUAGACAUAUUACAGAAUCAGGUUUUUUGGAUGUAGGCGUUGAACGUAUAGUCGAUCAAGUAGUGAAUCCGAAAAUAGGCACAGUUUUUCAACCGCGCAUUGAAGAAAUCACUUACAAAUAUUUAGGGCUACCGCCACCUGUCAAACACGAACCGCCUCCACCUAUCAUGCAUCCACUACCGCCAUUGCCGCUGACUGGACCGCCUUUGAAAAUAGAAACCAGCAGUCUUUUACCAACUGGACUUGAACAAGUGAGUCCUGAUUCCGAUAAAGCGACAGUAAAGUCGGAAUGUCACGGCGACGACCCCUCUGUUAUGGAUAUGGACGUUGAUGUUGAUGAUAAAUUGGGAGACGAGGAUGACGAAUCUCCACCUUUCGAACCGCUUGUGAAAUGUGUUGAACCAAAUACAACUAUAAAAUCGGAAAAUAUUAAAAAUGAUGAUGAAGUUGAUUUGAAACCCCAAUUGAAAACCGUAAAGUUGGAAGCAAUAUCAAGCGAAAGUGCGGUCAAAGUUGAAACCAGCAAUCAACCAGAUUCAGAAACACAGGACACCUCCGUAUCGGCAAAUUCAACAGAUCCCGAAAUUGCAAAAAAUGCAACCAUAUCGUUCGGAACAGAAGCUGUCUUAUCACAAGAUUCACAACUAUCACAAGUCUCGAGUGACAGUAACAUCUCUGACGUGACAGCGAAUGCUUCACACAGUUUUAUGGAUAAUUCCAGUACACACAACAACACGCCGCAAACAAUUUCCGAUCAAACUGCGGCAGCAAUUGAACUGGCUUCGGCGAAUAUAUCCGAGGAGGCGCAAAUGCCAAAAUUCAGUGAGAAUUCAUCGGAAAUGUUUGGUGCGAAGUCAACACCAUCAGAGCUACAUUUCGAUAUUAAAAAAGACGAGAUUAAAUUCGAAGGUACUGAGCGAAAAGCGAACUUGUUGGAACAAGAAGGCGAAUGCAAUUCUGUGCCUUGUGAUGGUAUUUCACAAAGAGAAUUGAAUAAUAUAAGUGAAAAUAUAGAAAGUAAGGAGGCACCACAUCACUUCGGCAAUUUGACAAUCGACACAGACGUGGAGCGAAUGCAACCCACGGGUGUCAACACACCGGCAGCAACACCAACGCCCACACCUCAUGAGAGUAGCUUCGGUUCUUCAUUAGAAGAUACGAGUAUACAACAAUACAAAGAGGAUGGUGAAGUUGAAUCGAAAACUGAAUCUAUGAAUGUAAGAGAUGCGGUCUUCUCAACACCGAUACCAGAGCAGCGCGAUAAAAAAGAAACAAGCACCUCACGAAAUCACGGCUCCUCGUCAUCAUCUUCGCGACACAAGAAACAUUCGAAAGACAAACGGCAUUCGCAUAGCUCAAAAGACAAGUAUAAAGAUCGCGAUCGUAGCAAAAAUAGAAGCCACGAUAAGGAUAGGAGUAGUGUACGAGAUAGAAGUAGCGAUAAGAGUAGACAUAGAGAGAAGGACAAGCAUAGAGAUAAGGGUAGUAGCCACAAGGAGAAGGAUCGAAGCAAGGAUAGGUCACGCACGCAUGACAAAAGUACAAAGAGUAAGAACGAUGGUACAGAACGUAGUAGCAGCUCUAAACGUUCCAGCUCCUCCACAGCACGUUCACAUGAUACUAGUUCGAGCAAUAAGAACGAAAAGAACGUAACGACGAAACACUCAAACUCUUUCACAUCAUCUUCAAGUUCGUCUAGCCGUUCUGAAAGUCACGACGCGAAGCGUGAGAAACGUGAAACGGAAAAGAAACAUCAUCGCAGCACUUCAAGCGCCAGCGCUAGUGAGAAAAAGGAUGCUGGGAAGGCAGAGCUGCCCAAAAGUGAAGGGCCCACUGACGAUCACAGUAGUGAGAAGACUAAUAAAGUGCGGCGCCACAAGUCGACCGAUUCGAAUGACGAAGACGAAGGUGCUAGUGGUGCUAGUCGUAAAAAUGGUGGCAGCGAGCGUGAAAAAGCUAGUCAAAAUACCACAUGGACCAACAGCGAUAAACAGCAAAGUCAAAGUAAAGAUACGAAGAACUCUGCGCAAAGUCCAAAAGGUAGAUCAAAAAGUGACCACGACCAAGAGAAACCCACUGCAGCGUCGAAUAUGAUAACCGAAGAUGUUAGUACAAACGCUUUGGCGACACAACCACACGGCAAUAAAGUCGUUAUUUUAAGCGAUAUGCUCGAAAAUCCCAACAUCAAUUUCAUUGAUCUGGGACCAUCAUCCGCCACAUACACACACACCUCCGAUAUGGUUGUGAAAGAUUGUCAAAAAGACACCACAACAACAACCAAAAGCGCCGCUACAGCAGCGGUGCAGAAUACUCAAACCUCAAGCGAACACACACACAAAGUGGAGGAAGAGCACCAACUUCUUUUCUUCGAGGAAGUUGGUGAACAGUUUUCAAAUCGAUUGCGUCUCUUAGACAACGCAAUGGAUCGCUGUCGACGUGUGGUCAACAAUCUGCGUUUCGAUUGUGCCACCGAGUUGUGUGACACUUACGAAACCGGAGAAGAGCAGCCAAAUGCAGGCGCGGCAGAAGGCGUUGAAAGGCCACAAACUACUACAGCUACGCUCACAAUCGAUUGUGUUGUACCCACUGCCUUUGCAGCAGCGCCAGAAUACUACAAUAGCGGCGAAAGGCGUGAAGGCAGUCCAGUCGGCAGCACAUACGAUGGCGUUUACGAUUUGCAUGGGAAACGUAAACGCAAUAAUGCCGGUGCGCUUGUACAAAGUAAAUCCUCACCCACACCGUCCGAUGCGAGCGUGAAUUCCAAAGAGAAUAUGGCGCUGGACAAAAAUGCCGAUAUGCAUACAAAUUAAAUCAAAGCCAUAAGCAAAACGCAAUAUGCAGCGCGUAUACGUAAUAGUUACCCGUAAAAAUGUAGCGUCUACGCGUAACGCAUGACAUAAUAACAUAAUCAUAGCAGAGUACAUUAAAAAAUAAAAUGUAAAAAUGCAAAAAUAUCAAUCAAUCAAAUCAAAAACCAAAAACAAAAACAAAAACAAAAAUGUAUAUCCUUCCAACCAUGUGCUGGAUGAGGUGAAAUGCGUUCGUCGCAUUGCGUCUGUAAAUAAAUUGAGUCAACAGCGCUAUAACAGCGAGGAUCUGUACAAACCGCGACCCAUUUUGAGUCAACGUUCACGUCGUCGAGGUAUGGAUACCAUAAUCUAGUUG